AUCAGCAGGGAAGAAAAUGACGGUACCUGACUAAGAAGCCCCGGCUAACUACGUGCCAGCAGCCGCGGUAAUACGUAGGGGGCAAGCGUUAUCCGGAUUUACUGGGUGUAAAGGGAGCGUAGACGGCAGUGCAAGUCUGAAGUGAAAGCCCGGGGCUCAACCCCGGGACUGCUUUGGAAACUGUGCAGCUAGAGUGUCGGAGAGGCAAGCGGAAUUCCUAGUGUAGCGGUGAAAUGCGUAGAUAUUAGGAGGAACACCAGUGGCGAAGGCGGCUUGCUGGACGAUGACUGACGUUGAGGCUCGAAAGCGUGGGGAGCAAACAGGAUUAGAUACCCCUGUAGUC
rnacentral:rRNA from 1 species